rnacentral:rRNA from 1 species
CACGUAGGGGGCGAGCGUUGUCCGGAUUCAUUGGGCGUAAAGGGCGCGCAGGCGGCCCGGAAAGUCGGAUGUGAAAACUCGAGGCUCAACCUCGAGCGUGCACCCGAUACUGCCGGGCUUGAGGCAGGUAGGGGAGAUCGGAAUUCCUGGUGUAGCGGUGAAAUGCGCAGAUAUCAGGAGGAACACCGGUGGCGAAGGCGGAUCUCUGGGCCUUACCUGACGCUCAGGCGCGAAAGCGUGGGGAGCGAACAGG